rnacentral:lncRNA from 1 species
CUGUUAGUUCUGCAUGCGAUUUAAAAAAAUUGUUCUGGUAAUACUCUGUUCAACACUACAAGUAAUUCUGCAUCAAGAGAAAGCUCCAAAUAUUCUAACAACCAUUCAGCAUUUCCAAUGAUCUUAGAUCCACGCUUGGUGCGAAAACUGAAAACGAGAGAAAGGAAACGCUGUGGCCAGGUCCAUCUGAUACUGUGAAAUAUUUCUUAUCUUGAUUUUCUCCUGGAUAAGAUCCUGGAGCUUGGCUGGAGCCAAGAUGGCUGAAUAGGAACAGCUCCGGUCUACAGCUCCCAGCGUGAGCGACGUAGAAGACGGGUGAUUUCUGCAUUUCCAUCUGAGGCUGAAGCCACAGUCCCUUUAUUGUGAUCUGUAUCCCAG